GACGUAGGGCGCGAGCGUUGUCCGGAUUUAUUGGGCGUAAAGAGCUCGUAGGCGGCUUGUCGCGUCGACUGUGAAAACCCGCGGCUCAACUGCGGGCUUGCAGUCGAUACGGGCAGGCUUGAGUUCGGUAGGGGAGACUGGAAUUCCUGGUGUAGCGGUGGAAUGUGUAGAUAUCAGGAAGAACAUCUGUGGCGAAGGCGGCUUGCUGGGCCAGUACUGACGCUGAGGGACGAAAGCGUGGGGAGCAAACGGG
rnacentral:rRNA from 1 species